UACGUAGGGUGCAAGCGUUGUCCGGAAUUAUUGGGCGUAAAGAGCUUGUAGGCGGUUGUCGCGUCUGCUGUGAAAACUCGGGGCUCAACCCCGAGCCUGCUUUCGAUACGGGCGGACUAGAGGUAGGUAGGGGAGAACGGAAUUCCUGGUGUAGCGGUGGAAUGCGCAGAUAGUCAGGAGGAACACCGGUGGCGAAGGCGGUUCUCUGGGCCUUACCUGACGCUGAGGAGCGAAAGCGUGGGGAGCGAACAGG
rnacentral:rRNA from 1 species